AUUUUUUGAAUUAAUAACAAAAUAAAAGCAUUGUUAUUGGAUUUGUUUAUUGAGGCUGUAUUAAGAAAAGUUGAGAGAAACAAACUUAUUGUUUUAUCAGGAGAAACAACAGGAUUGGGAGGAACUGAGCUUUAACAGAAGCUGCAACAACUGCAGGAGGCUCACAGGGUCCUGGAGAGCAGGUUAACUUGCAGCAUGAAGGAGGUGGCUGAGCUAAGUGACAGGAAGUAGCAGCUUAAGCAUGCUGUAGUGCAUGAGGAGACAGAGUCCAUCGGUGUAUGCAUGUUUUUUGCUCAUUUGAAUCAUCUGUAAAAGUGAAGUGGAGGAAGUGUUUACUGUUUACUGUAUGCCAUUUCCUUGGUCUUUUAAUGAAGAAUUUUAUCCUUCUUCAGGUGACUACAUCACCAUCUACCAGUUGCAGCGAGGAGUGAUGAAGCAACAAGCUCGAGAACGCGAGUUAGACCUUGCCAGCCUCCAUCAUGAAUGAGAGGAAAUGAAGCAAAACCACUCUGCAGGAUUUGAUAUCAAAGCUGGUGCAGGAAAAGGAAGCAGAUCAUGACCUUCAGCAGCUCGAGAAGAUAAGCAGCGUCCUUAAGAGUCCAGUUGCUAUCUUUAGCAGUGUUGGAACCAGUGAGUCUGAGACACCCACCACCAGUGGAAAGGUGGCUGACGAGCGCCUCAAGCACUCUGAAAAGGUGGAGCAACAACAAGAAACAGAAAAUUGCAUCCAUCAUUCUUUGCCUGAGGAGGGAAUUGAUGCUCUGUUGACCCUUCACACUGAUGUCCCUCAUGAGGAGGGGAGAAUAUGAAUCCUACAGAACUUGCCCAUAGGAAGACCAAAACUGUUACUGCUGCCACACUGCCACCACUUCCACUGACACCAAAAGCCCAACUGUGCAGAGAAUCCUGGACCUCCGCAAUGAAAUGGAGUCCACCAGUCACCUGGAGCACUUUAGCCUCCAAAAGUUCCAUCCGUGUCCAUUGUGUUUGGGUAAACUUAUCACUGUAUAAGGGGACAAGUAUCAGUGUAUGGUUACUAUAUACUCAUUUGUACUUAAAGAUGUCAUGUCACAUCAUUCUCUCUCUCUCUCUCUCUCUCUCUCUCUCUCUCUCUCUCUCUCUCUCUCUCUCUCUCUCUCUCUCUCUCUCUCUCUCUCUCUCUCUCUCUCUCUCUCUCUCUCUCUCUCUCUCUCUCUCUCUCUCUCUCUCUCUCUUUCUUUCUUUCUUUCUUUCUUUUGUUGCAUAUGUUACUGCUUUACAUUCCUCCCCACAGUAUUUUUUCAUCUACUUUAUGACUGCAGUAGUUUUAUCAUCCCAGUGUAUGCUGUAUCCACUCUGAAACUGUAAUUCACCAAUCAGCUCAAAUGUGUCUCUGUUUUGAUAAUCAUUAAUUUGUUUCAGCUACACAACCACUCUGAUAAGGGACAAAAUCUACUUCACCAGUCAUCUAUGUCAUACAGUCAUAUAUAUUCAUACAUAUGACAAAAUACUCUUCCUAAGACAUUUCUUAUUUUCUCUUCUCAAGUGACCUGUCCAUCUAUCUAAGGUACCACAUAACAUUUAAAACUUACAAUAUUGUGUUUAAUUCAUGAACACUUUUUUGUCUAUCUAUGGAGACUUGCGUAUAGACUUGAAAUGUAUUGGGGAGUUUUCUUUAUCUCUCAUUCUAUACCUAACACCUGUUCCUAAGAAUCCCCAGGUGAUAGCCAUGGUGACUGGCUGGUCUCCUACUGAGUGGCUGGGGUUUUCCAAAAGUGAGGGUUGGUGUUCCAUACCAUACCAUGUGCCCUGUUUGUAUUCCUUCUUUGUCCUCUGUAUUAUAUUCUAUGUAAAGAUGGUGCUGGGGUGGGAUCUACUUCUUAUUCCCUAAAAGUGAUGAGGAGUGACACUGGGCAGCAUUGAUUUGCUCCUUAGAGAUGGCUGGGUUCCUGUGGAUGAGUGGGCCAUGCUGUGCUUUGUCAAGGAUGGUGUUUGGUAUUGUGAUGACUCUUGCCACAAUCAAGUGCCUCCCACAGAGUAGUGGAGUACCUAUGUAUGGUGUUGACCCAAGCUGUCCAGGUCUCAUCCAAUGCCUUAAUAUGAUUUAGAUGAUCAAAAUGGUUUAACUCACCAUUUAAUCAGCUGACUGAUUUGAAUGGAGAAGUAUGUAAUGUGUUGUAGCCUAACCAUCCCUGCCAGCAUGGUCAGAUUCUUGGUAGUAACCUGAAAUGCUCCUAGGUAGUGAGUAUCAUUGCACAUAAUGAUCUUUACUUUGUCAGUAAUUCAAUGAUACUGAAUAUUACUCUACUGGAUUUUGCUCAGCACUGCUUGGUAACUUUUGGCCAUAAUCCCAGGUCUGGAAUGAUAUGAAGCCAUGUUUUUACAUUCCAUAUGAGACAGGCAAGCACUAUGCUUUGCCUGACUGAUACCUGUACUUUACAUUUAUGACCCCAGGUAGUUCAUCACUCUCUCUCUCUCUCUCUCUCUCUCUCUCUCUCUCUCUCUCUCUGUUUGGAAUUAUACUGUAUAUUAGGAAAUAUCAUUAAAGAGUGUGUGUGUAAAAAGUGUUUGCAUUAUUGUGCAUUUGAUGUUAUAGCCCCAGGUUCUUAAAGUUUUCUAGUUUCAUGAUUUAUAAAGAUUGCUAUUUUUAAUAAAGUUAUUGAAAUUGUUA